AAUAGAUACCCUGGUAGUCCACGCCGUAAACGAUGUGUGCUAGAAGUCGGGAUAACUCGGUUUCGAAGCUAACGCAUUAAGCACACCGCCUGGGGAGUACGGUCGCAAGGCUGAAACUCAAAGAAAUUGACGGGGACCCGCACAAGUGGUGGAGCAUGUGGUUUAAUUCGAUGCAACGCGAUGAACCUUACCAAGACUUGACAUACUCGGCAAAGCUAUAGAGAUAUAGUGGAGGUUAUCCGAUGUACAGGUGGUGCAUGGUUGUCGUCAGCUCGUGUCGUGAGAUGUUGGGUUAAGUCCCGCAACGAGCGCAACCCCUAUCUUUAUUUGCUAACAUUAAGUUGAGGACUAUAGAGAGACUGCCUACGCAAGUAGGAGGAAGGUGGGGAUGACGUCAAAUCAUCAUGCCCCUUAUGUCUUGGGCUACACACGUGCUACAAUGGCCGGUACAAAGGGCUGCAAACUGGUGACAGUAAGCGAAUCCCAUAAAGCCGGUCUAAGUUCGGAUUGAAGUCUGCAACUCGA
rnacentral:rRNA from 1 species